rnacentral:rRNA from 1 species
GGAUCAUUAUUGAAAUAAACCUGAUGGGUUGUUGCUGGUUCUCUAGGGAGCAUGUGCACACCUUGUCAUCUUUAUAUCUCCACCUGUGCACCUUUUGUAGACCUUACAGGUCUAUGUUGCCUUUUCAUUUACACCAAUGUAUGUUAAUAGAAUGUUGUGACUAUAAAAUCUAUACAACUUUCAGCAACGGAUCUCUUGGCUCUCGCAUCGAUGAAGAACGCAGCGAAAUGCGAUAAGUAAUGUGAAUUGCAGAAUUCAGUGAAUCAUCGAAUCUUUGAACGCACCUUGCGCUCCUUGGUAUUCCGAGGAGCAUGCCUGUUUGAGUGUCAUUAAUAUAUAUAUCAACCCUCUUUUGUUGAGUGGUUUGGAUGUGAGGAUUUGCUGGAUUCUUAAAAGGGUUCCAGCUUCCUUGAAAUGCAUUAGCAGAACGGACCUGUUCAUUGGUGUGAUAACUAUCAGCACUAUUGAAUGUAAGGGUUAGUUCAGCUUUCUAACAGUCCUUGGACAAUUAAUCAUUUAUGUGACCUCAAAUCAGGUAGGACUACCCGCUGAACUUAAGCAUAUCAAUAAGCGGAGGAAAAGAAACUAACAAGGAUUCCCCUAGUAACUGCGAGUGAAGCGGGAAAAGCUCAAAUUUARAAUCUGGCAGUCUUUUGGCUGUCCGAGUUGUAAUCUAGAGAAGUGUUAUCCGCGCUGGACCGUGUACAAGUCUCCUGGAAUGGAGCAUCAUAGAGGGUGAGAAUCCCGUCUUUGACAUGGACUGCCAGGGCUUUGUGAUGCGCUCUCAAAGAGUCGAGUUGUUUGGGAAUGCAGCUCAAAAUGGGUGGUAAAUUCCAUCUAAAGCUAAAUAUUGGCGAGAGACCGAUAGCGAACAAGUACCGUGAGGGAAAGAUGAAAAG